UACGUAGGGUGCAAGCGUUAAUCGGAAUUACUGGGCGUAAAGCGUGCGCAGGCGGUUUUGUAAGUCUGUCGUGAAAGCCCCGGGCUCAACCUGGGAAUUGCGAUGGAGACUGCAAGGCUUGAAUCUGGCAGAGGGGGGUAGAAUUCCACGUGUAGCAGUGAAAUGCGUAGAGAUGAUGGAGGAACACCGGAUGGCGAAGGCAGCCCCCUGGGUCAAGAUUGACGCUCGAUGCACGAAAGCGUGGGGAGCAAACAGG
rnacentral:rRNA from 1 species